GUGCCAGCAGCCGCGGUAAUACGAAGGGGGCUAGCGUUGCUCGGAAUGACUGGGCGUAAAGGGCGCGUAGGCGGUGUACACAGUCAGGCGUGAAAUUCCCGGGCUCAACCUGGGGACUGCGCUUGAUACAUGUGCGCUUGAGUUCGGAAGAGGGUCGUGGAAUUCCCAGUGUAGAGGUGAAAUUCGUAGAUAUUGGGAAGAACACCGGUGGCGAAGGCGGCGACCUGGUCCGACACUGACGCUGAGGCGCGAAAGCGUGGGGAGCAAACAGGAUUAGAAACCCUCGUAGUCC
rnacentral:rRNA from 1 species